rnacentral:rRNA from 1 species
AACGAACGCUGGCGGCGUGCCUAACACAUGCAAGUCGAACGAGAAAGGGGCGUUCGGCUCCGAGUAAAGUGGCGCACGGGUGAGUAACACGUAGGUAACCUGCCUCUAAGAUUGGGAUAACUUGUCGAAAGACGAGCUAAUACCAAAUGAGACCACGGUCUCCUCGGAGACAGAGGUCAAAGGUAGCCUCUAUUUAUAAGCUAUCGCUGAGAGAUGGGCCUGCGUACCAUUAGCUAGUUGGUGAGGUAACGGCUCACCAAGGCAAAGAAUGGUUAGCUGGUCUGAGAGGAUGAUCAGCCACACUGGAACUGAGACACGGUCCAGACUCCUACGGGAGGCAGCAGUGGGGAAUAAUUNCGCAAAUGGGCGAAAGCCUGACGCAGCAACGCCGCGUGAGUGAUGAA